GGAUUAGAUACCCUGGUAGUCCACGCCGUAAACGAUGUCUACUAGUUGUUGGUUCCCUUGAGGAAUUAGUGACGCAGCUAACGCAUUAAGUAGACCGCCUGGGGAGUACGGUCGCAAGAUUAAAACUCAAAUGAAUUGACGGGGGCCCGCACAAGCGGUGGAGCAUGUGGUUUAAUUCGAAGCAACGCGAAGAACCUUACCUACCCUUGACAUCCAGAAAACUUAGCAGAGAUGCUUUGGUGCCUUCGGGAAUUCUGAGACAGGUGCUGCAUGGCUGUCGUCAGCUCGUGCUG
rnacentral:rRNA from 1 species